UCAGGUGUUGUUGGGUAGGGGAGCGUUCUGUAAGCCUGCGAAGGUGGCCUGUGAGGGUUGCUGGAGGUAUCAGAAGUGCGAAUGCUGACAUAAGUAACGAUAAAGCGGGUGAAAAGCCCGCUCGCCGGAAGACCAAGGGUUCCUGUCCAACGUUAAUCGGGGCAGGGUGAGUCGACCCCUAAGGCGAGGCCGAAAGGCGUAGUCGAUGGGAAACGGGUUAAUAUUCCCGUACUUGGUGUUACUGCGAAGGGGGGACGGAGAAGGCUAUGUUGGCCGGGCGACGGUUGUCCCGGUUUAAGCGUGUAGGUGUGUGUUCCAGGUAAAUCCGGUUCACUUUAACACUGAGGCGUGAUGACGAGGCACUACGGUGCUGAAGCAACAAAUGCCCUGCUUCCAGGAAAAGCCUCUAAGCAUCAGGUAACAUCAAAUCGUACCCCAAACCGACACAGGUGGUCAGGUAGAGAAUACCAAGGCGCUUGAGAGAACUCGGGUGAAGGAACUAGGCAAAAUGGUGCCGUAACUUCGGGAGAAGGCACGCUGACACGUAGGUGAAGUGAUUUACUCAUGGAGCUGAAGUCAGUCGAAGAUACCAGCUGGCUGCAACUGUUUAUUAAAAACACAGCACUGUGCAAACACGAAAGUGGACGUAUACGGUGUGACGCCUGCCCGGUGCCGGAAGGUUAAUUGAUGGGGUCAGCGCAAGCGAAGCUCCUGAUCGAAGCCCCGGUAAACGGCGGCCGUAACUAUAACGGUCCUAAGGUAGCGAAAUUCCUUGUCGGGUAAGUUCCGACCUGCACGAAUGGCGUAAUGAUGGCCAGGCUGUCUCCACCCGAGACUCAGUGAAAUUGAACUCGCUGUGAAGAUGCAGUGUACCCGCGGCAAGACGGAAAGACCCCGUGAACCUUUACUAUAGCUUGACACUGAACAUUGAGCCUUGAUGUGUAGGAUAGGUGGGAGGCUUUGAAGUGUGGACGCCAGUCUGCAUGGAGCCGGCCUUGAAAUACCACCCUUUAAUGUUUGAUGUUCUAACGUGGACCCGUGAUCCGGGUUGCGGACAGUGUCUGGUGGGUAGUUUGACUGGGGCGGUCUCCUCCUAAAGAGUAACGGAGGAGCACGAAGGUUGGCUAAUCCUGGUCGGACAUCAGGAGGUUAGUGCAAUGGCAUAAGCCAGCUUGACUGCGAGCGUGACGGCGCGAGCAGGUGCGAAAGCAGGUCAUAGUGAUCCGGUGGUUCUGAAUGGAAGGGCCAUCGCUCAACGGAUAAAAGGUACUCCGGGGAUAACAGGCUGAUACCGCCCAAGAGUUCAUAUCGACGGCGGUGUUUGGCACCUCGAUGUCGGCUCAUCACAUCCUGGGGCUGAAGUAGGUCCCAAGGGUAUGGCUGUUCGCCAUUUAAAGUGGUACGCGAGCUGGGUUUAGAACGUCGUGAGACAGUUCGGUCCCUAUCUGCCGUGGGCGCUGGAGAACUGAGGGGGGCUGCUCCUAGUACGAGAGGACCGGAGUGGACGCAUCACUGGUGUUCGGGUUGUCAUGCCAAUGGCACUGCCCGGUAGCUAAAUGCGGAAGAGAUAAGUGCUGAAAGCAUCUAAGCACGAAACUUGCCCCGAGAUGAGUUCUCCCUGAGACUUUAGGUCUCCUGAAGGAACGUUGAAGACGACGACGUUGAUAGGCCGGGUGUGUAAGCGCAGCGAUGCGUUGAGCUAACCGGUACUAAUGAACCGUGAGGCUUAACCUUACA
rnacentral:rRNA from 1 species